rnacentral:tRNA from 1 species
GCCCGCGUGGCACAAUGGCUAGCGCGUGGUAGGGACUGCCCAUCUCAAGGUUCUGGGUUCGACCCCCAGCGUGGGCG